rnacentral:rRNA from 1 species
GAUGAACGCUGGCGGCGUGCCUAAUACAUGCAAGUCGAGCGAACAGACGAGGGGCUUGCUCCUCUGACGUUAGCGGCGGACGGGUGAGUAACACGUGGAUAACCUACCUAUAAGACUGGGAUAACUUCGGGAAACCGGAGCUAAUACCGGAUAACAUGUUGAACCGCAUGGUUCAAUAGUGAAAGACGGUCUUGCUGUCACUUAUAGAUGGAUCCGCGCCGCAUUAGCUAGUUGGUAAGGUAACGGCUUACCAAGGCAACGAUGCGUAGCCGACCUGAGAGGGUGAUCGGCCACACUGGAACUGAGACACGGUCCAGACUCCUACGGGAGGCAGCAGUAGGGAAUCUUCCGCAAUGGGCGAAAGCCUGACGGAGCAACGCCGCGUGAGUGAAGAAGGUCUUCGGAUCGUAAAACUCUGUUAUUAGGGAAGAACAAAUGUGUAAGUAACUAUGCACGUCUUGACGGUACCUAAUCAGAAAGCCACGGCUAACUACGUG